rnacentral:rRNA from 1 species
UACGUAGGGGGCGAGCGUUGUCCGGAAUUAUUGGGCGUAAAGCGCGCGCAGGCGGUUUUUUAAGUUCGUGGUGAAAGACCGGGGCUCAACCCCGGAGCGUCCGCGAAGACUGGAAGACUGGAGUGUCGGAGAGGAGUGCGGAAUACCUGGUGUAGCGGUGGAAUGCGUAGAGAUCAGGUGGAACACCGAUGGCGAAGGCAGCACUCUGGCCGAAUACUGACGCUGAGGCGCGAAAGCGUGGGGAGCAAACAGG